rnacentral:rRNA from 1 species
CUCAGGAUGAACGCUGGCGGCGUGCCUAAUACAUGCAAGUCGAGCGAAUGGAUUAAGAGCUUGCUCUUAUGAAGUUAGCGGCGGACGGGUGAGUAACACGUGGGUAACCUGCCCAUAAGACUGGGAUAACUCCGGGAAACCGGGGCUAAUACCGGAUAACAUUUUGAACCGCAUGGUUCGAAAUUGAAAGGCGGCUUCGGCUGUCACUUAUGGAUGGACCCGCGUCGCAUUAGCUAGUUGGUGAGGUAACGGCUCACCAAGGCAACGAUGCGUAGCCGACCUGAGAGGGUGAUCGGCCACACUGGGACUGAGACACGGCCCAGACUCCUACGGGAGGCAGCAGUAGGGAAUCUUCCGCAAUGGACGAAAGUCUGACGGAGCAACGCCGCGUGAGUGAUGAAGGCUUUCGGGUCGUAAAACUCUGUUGUUAGGGAAGAACA